rnacentral:rRNA from 1 species
UCAUUACCACACCAAAAAACACCCCACGUGAAUGUAUUCUGUAUGAGGCUUGUGCUGCUUACCAGCGGCUAGCCGAAGGUUUCGCAAGAAGCCGAUGUCUAUUUGAAUCCUUUUUUAAAUAAUUACUGAUCAAAACUGCAGACAGAAAUGUUUGCAUUAAAUUGAAAUACAACUUUCAACAGUGGAUGUCUAGGCUCGCACACCGAUGAAGAACGCUGCGAACUGCGAUACGUAAUGCGAAUUGCAGAAUUCAGUGAGUCAUCAAAAUUUUGAACGCAUAUUGCACUUCCGGGUUAGUCCUGGGAGUAUGUUUGUAUCAGUGUCCGUAAAAACCAAAUUGUUUUAUUUCUUUAUUGAAAUGAAGCAGAAUGUGAAGUGUCUUGCUUCGGCAAGUCCUUUUAAACGACGGUACCUGUGCGUCCUUGUGAGAUGUAUUAUUUAAAGGUAUGCAUGAGCUUAUUUCGAGAGUUUUGUGUGAUGGCACACAGCAUUCAAAGAAAGAGCAAAUCGCGGUAGUUUUGCUUGUGCUUCGGUACGAGUGGACACAUAUUGCUUUUUGUAAUUUUGGCGAGGUCUGUUGUUAGAAGGCAAGAUGCGAAAUAAAAUUAUGUAUGCUGGUGCAUUUCUUGGCGUACGGAGGCAAAUUGGGAAUUAAAUCCAAUUUGGACCUGAUAUCAAACAAGACUACCCGCUGAAC